UUUUUGGUUAGGUUAUUUGUGAAACUCCACCCUAUAAGUCCCGAUCAAACUACUGGUUCAACCGAAGAGUGAUACUCGGGUUUCAACCUGAACCAUGACUUGACUCUUAUCUACUAGCCAAACAUUAAAUCAAGCAAUAAAACUACAUCGAAGGCUUUAAAAUACUGACCAACUAGGAUCCCAGAUCCCAAAACACAACAGAUAAAAAGGACAUGCAACUCCAGUAUGAAAAACACAUCGAAAAAUGAUAUCCUCUUAUACCAAAACACCGACUAGUUCUCUCCCUUUCGCCAUCAGCUCCAGUACAUGUGACUAGACACACAGAUACACUAAGAAAAAAUAGAAUCUAAUGGGGUCACAAAUAAGCACUGAGUGGCUAACUAGACUCACGCAGAACUGUGACUCUACAGAGAAGAUAGAGAAAGAAAGUCUAACUAAUCCCCGAAUCUAGUAAUGUGACCCUGUGGUCGUUAGGCAUCAUCCUAACAUCACCCACCCCUAACUAGUGGUAGAUAGCUGAUAGCACGUUUUCUUGUAUGAUUUUCACCCCAUCUUAACUAUUUUUCGACUCGGUUCGAUCGAUUUUUUAUCCCCUUGUGGUGAUUGGUUGAUGAGAGAGUGUGGGAUUCGUGUUUUGUUCUCUCGAACGGACCAUUUCGGUCCGUUCGACUUGUUUUCUCAAGUCAACCCAUCCAGAUGCAGUAAUAGAUUUCACCGUAAUUUCCUUCCAAGUCUCCUUAUUUGUCUUGUCGGUGAAGUUGAAACACUUUACUUUGAUCGUGUUUGAUAGACCCCGUACCUGAAAUGAGAUGGAUUGAAGCAAACCCCGACCUCUCUUACCAAGAGAUUCCAUCCUGCAAGAUAACAAAAAAGGAAAUAAUCUUUGGAGAUUCAAUAUGAAACAAGACAUAUUCUCAAGAAAAGAUCAAUGACACUUGUUUAAACACUCAUCACAAACCAAAAGUCUCACAUAAUUCAAACAGGAUCACCUCAUAUUAAGUAACAUCAUAUAGGGAAAAUGAAAAACAACAAACAUUUAAGGACAUAGUUCACAAGACAACCGUCCUCAUCCUAAUCCAAAUGUCCUAAGAAGUCAUACGGCAAAAACAAGUCACCUAUCUAGAGCCACUUAAUCAAAAACUCCAAUUCAAGGGACGGAAGUCACUAAUAAGAAUCAUUAAGCACAAUUGGCAAGGAAAAUGGUAUGCAAUUCAGUUCAAAUUCGUUCCACAAUCCUAACAUAUCAUUAAUUUCAGCAAAGCAAAGUCAGUUGCACAAAAUCACAAACUUAAAAAAUUAAGGUUUAUAAGUUCAUCCUAAAUUCGAAAGUUUACAAUUAAGAGCACAAUUAUGGUCCAAACAUUACAAAAUUCAUCAUACAAGGUCACUAAGAUACCAAUUUUACAUAUCCGUUAGGAACACGCCGUGUUCCCUACAGAACACGGUCGUGUUCCACCCCUGUCUAUUUCUCGGGUCAACUUCCAGAAAAUGGACACGCAGUGUUCUUUAGGUAUACGGAAUUUGACCAUAGUGUCAUCAUAAACGUUGUAGAAAAUCGAAUUCUCUUUCCAAAGCCGUUGACCUUGCAUCAAUUGGACUUUUGAGUAAUACGUUAUGCUCAAAAUACUAAGCAGCGACGUUUUCUUCACAAAUCGAACGUUUUGAAUUGUUCCGGCCUCCCCAUGAAUUUUUGGUUCAUCUCUAAACGUCAUAUGACACAUGAAAUGUACCAAAAACAUACCAAACACCAUAACACGGUCCCGAGGGGCAAGAGAACCAAACAUAUACUCUAAAUCCUGAAUUUGAAUACAUUUCGACAUACAAAAAUAUAGUUUAUAACGAAAAAAAAGUGUGUCAAAAAUACAACACAUCACGAUGAUUAUGCUUAAUAACCGUAAUAAAAGCAGAUGGAUAAUAGAUGUGUCAUAACCACCCCAAAUUGUUUAGAUCUUUUCAAUUAGAUAUUUUUAUCAUUAUUUGACAUAUUUUCGAAUUUUAGUAUUUUGAAAAUAUGUGAAUCUUACUAUAAAUGCAUAGAAGUAAAAGUAAAUAUAUACAACUUUGCAUUGGUCGUAGAACCUAGUGAAGGCGCUGGCAUUUCCCUUAUUCUGGAACUAAUAAUUCACAAAGGUUUGGUAGCAAUUCUGCAAUCAAUACUUGCUGUUCCAAAAUGGGUCUCAAACUUGUUCAUUCCUAUAACUCUUCAAAAGAGGUGCCUUUACACUUCCAGUUGACUCAGCUUCAUGUUGGCUGCUGCUGCAACUAGCACUUGUGUCAUCAGUAAAGUCUUCUUCUUCUUGUGCUUUUCCCCACAUCACAGUGUAAAACCCAAUGGAUAUUAUUGCUGCCCCUAUCAGACUGCAAGGCACAUGCUUAGAUAUUUGUAUACAAACACACACAGGGCUCUCAAAUUAAGAAACUUUCUUCAUGAGUUGACUCUUACCUCCCUAGAUGAAGAGUGUCACCCAAGAACAUCACACCCAUAGCCACAGCAAUAGCAAUUGACAACGGCUUGAACAUUGCUACAAAUACAGGACCCUUUAUCCGCAAUGCCCACGUAUGCACACUGUUGUUCAAGCACGAUCCAAGAAGCCCCUAAUUAACAAACAAUACACGAUCAGACAGCCCGAUAUGAUUGUACUAGCUAACUGAGAAAGAGUAUAUUAAUUAGUAUCUCACCGAGCAGAAAACUGAGGCCAACGCUACAUUAGGCCUUAAUAUCCAGGCACUGGAAGAAGUUCCUUCCGAUAUCAGAGCAACGAACGCUGCCACUACGCUCACAACUAAGUUGUAAAAGAAUACUACCGUGAGUUCAGCUGGGUACUCCUUCAUUAUCUGUGUCUGUUUUCACAAAAUACAUAAGUGUCAGCUGCUCGAAUUCUGGCGCCACGGGUUAAAGAGAGUAUAGAAGCCUACCUGAACUAUGUACCACAAAGGAACCAGAAUAUACUCACAGGUGAGGAAAACCCCACCAAGCACCCAGUUUUGGCUUGCUGAGAUUUGGAGGGAUUGAUUUUGCUGAGCAGACUGUGAUGUGGCAACUGUUAUAGCAGGACCCUGGUAGAGAGUUACAACAAAUGCACCUCCUAUUGAUACGAUUGUGCCCAUUACUUUGGCUUGACUCGAUGUUUUCCUCACCACAACCUUUUCCAUCCUUUUUUUAUAUAUAAUAAAGACAGCAUAAGUAAGAGGUUAGACUGAUGUGGUACAUAAAUGAUCUAUUACUCACUGCUCUCUGCUGUUCAGUAUUUAAUUAGAACUAGAACUCUCUAAGUGGAAAGUGCAGUCAUUCAGCACACUCAGCAAAGAGGAAAGUGAAGAAGAUGUCAGCAUCUUUCCAGGUAGGAAAAUUUGACGGCUAGGGAAGACAGAAGUGGGUUAAAAAAGGUUAAGAGAAGUACGUACCUGAAAAGAAGAGCGAGUAUGAAGGUAAAGGCUGGGGUGAGGUUACUGAUGGCUGAAGCUAGAGUUGGAGAACUGUAAUUGAUGCCUGUGUACCCCAUGAUCUGAGAUGAGCUCCUGCUCCCAAUUAGACCCAAAAGCAAAAACCAAACCCAUAAAGUUGUUGUUUGGAAGAAAGUUUGAUUCUUUCAGAGGAUGAUCAUAAAAUUCCACCACAAGUAAUUAGACUUACCCAAUGAUCCCCAGAAGCCCGAUUUUGCAGAGAAUUCGGAAGUUUAGUGGAGGAAGAACUCUUGAUCUGUAAUUGAUCAGAAACACAAUUAAUCCAUCCAGAAUCCCAACCUUUUAACUGGGGAAGCAAAAAAGAAAGGAAGAAAGAAACCUGUGGGAGAAGAAAGGAGCAGGAAGAAGAACAAGAGCAGCGAUUGCAUAGGCAUAGACUACAAAGACAUGGUAGCUCAUCCCCUCCAUAGUUGCAGCUUUGAACAGAGUAUUCAACCCGACAUUAAUACACUCCAUAGACACCAUCACUGAAAAUGCAAGCACAUCUCUGUACACAUAUCCUCCAGCUGCCCCUGCCAUCGAUCUCUUUUCUAUUACUUUCCACUUCGAUCUCUUUCAGCUAAACCUGAAUAUGGAAGAAACAUGCAGGUGGUCGGAGUAGGAGAGGGGGGUUGUGUUACGGAGAUCUCUAUGCUAUGGUGGACGAAGUGUGGCGUACAUGGUGAGUGAUGGCAAGUCGGAGAGCUUUGUUCCCCACUUGAGUGAAUUAUUGAGUAAUAUUUAUUUAUUAAUAUUGUAUGGAUGAUUUAUUUGUCCACAAAGGCACGGCCUUUUUAUUAUCUCUGUUUUCCAUGGUUCAGAAGCUGCACCAAGAGGGGAAGAGUAUCCAACUAUCCAAAAUAUUUUAGGUUUAGCAAUUCAGAUCGUUCAUAAAUUGUAAUUUAUUAUUAUCAUUUUAUUAAACAACCCAUUCAAAUUAAUUUUUUUUAAGGUGAUUGUUGCGUUACGGUGUUGAAGUGUUGGCUUGUGGUGCUGAAUUUUGUUGAAUUGUUCAGUAAAGGGUCAGUUUUGUAACUUCCAUAUCAUUAUUUUAAUUAUGUAAUUUAUUUUAUAUGUUAAUUAAUAUUAUUUUUUCUAACUUUUUAUUUAAUUAAUNNNNNNNNNNNNNNNNNNNNNNNNNNNNNNNNNNNNNNNNNNNNNNNNNNNNNNNNNNNNNNNNNNNNNNNNNNNNNNNNNNNNNNNNNNNNNNNNNNNNNNNNNNNNNNNNNNNNNNNNNNNNNNNNNNNNNNNNNNNNNNNNNNNNNNNNNNNNNNNNNNNNNNNNNNNNNNNNNNNNNNNNNNNNNNNNNNNNNNNNNNNNNNNNNNNNNNNNNNNNNNNNNNNNNNNNNNNNNNNNNNNNNNNNNNNNNNNNNNNNNNNNNNNNNNNNNNNNNNNNNNNNNNNNNNNNNNNNNNNNNNNNNNNNNNNNNNNNNNNNNNNNNNNNNNNNNNNAUUUAAAUGUAGUUAUUAUCUAGUUAGUCAAUUUUAUUAGCGACUUAAAUGUAAUCUAGAUUUAGUAAAUAUAAGAAAGAAACUAUAGUUAUUAGCAACUUCAACCUAAGCAUUACAACUUUGACAUAGAAAUUAGCCGUUUAGAUAUAUAUGAUCGAUAAAAAAAUAUUUUUUAAAAGUUUCAAAACAAAAUCAAUAUUGAUCUCGUUAGAUUGGUUUUUAAAAACAAGUAUUUUUAUAUAAAAAACAUAAAAAUUGAACUUAAAUUAAAUAAAUUAUGUUUGUUUAAAAAAUAUUAAUUUUUAUUUUUUAAAUAUCAAAACUGCCCACAUUAAUUUGAACCUAUAAAUUAAAAAAACUGAAAAACAAACAAUCAACUAAAAAUAAUUAAACAUGAUGCUAAAGUUUAUUUUCAACCCCAUACACGCUAUCUCGGUGUCGAAAACCUUUUAUGGAAGUUUUCUUCGUAAACGACUCUCCCUUCUAAAAUGGUUUUGCGUGGUGGACACACGUCCUAAGCGGGAGUCGGAUUCAUAAUCAAAGGGAAUUCACUUUUGAUGGGAUCCAAACAAACUUUCAGCCGUUGAUUAAUCAGUAUUUGAUCUAUUGGCGGGGGGGGAAUUGGCAAACUUGGAAUUUCAGUAUUUUGCCAAUCUUCUCAGUCUUUAAACCCGUUAAGUGCUGACGGAAACACCAUACGUCGACAAUCCUCAAAUCUCCUCGCCUCCGUAGAAUUGUAACGGUUGUUUCUCUCGUCCUAGAUCGUUAUUAGGCAUCAUCGGCUAGAUACUGUGACCGAGGACGAAAAGCAUCAUCGUCGGUUAGAACCUCACGAAAAUCGCCAGCAAGGAGUCUGUCGAGGCCUACAUCACGAGAGCUGGCUCCCAUGUCAUCCAAAUGGAUCUCCCCUUCCUGAUCCAGUCCUAGGAGUCUGUCGAACCCGAGAUAGAACAACUCAACUUGGACAAAAUCACAAUUCAUAAAUACAUGAUUUUACAAGCCAAAAAGCAAACGACCCCAGUUAUGAGCUUUAGUCACCAAGAGCUAAUAAAGAGUGAGGUUUUGGCCAACACUGAACAUAAACUCCAUUUCCUUACUGACCCCAGAUGAUACAAGCAGAGAACGUGAAAUUGCCGGCUAAAUCUUUAGCACUGAAUAUCAAUGAUUUUUAAUAUGUUCACAUAAGUUUGGGAAAAUAGAAGAAAACAUACCAACAAAGCUACCGAAAUUAUCAUUAUAUUUUACCUCUAACUUAGCUUAGCUCCUCUCUCCGUUUCCUAACAAAACUUGAACUAACACGGAACACCAAGGACGGUAAAGCUCAGUGUGUCUAGCAUAUAUCAAAAUCACCACAAUUGCUAUUUAAGUUAGCAAUGUGGUGCUGGCAAUCCACUCUCUACUUCUAUACCUAUAGGAGACAUGGCGGGAGCUUACAUUUGCUGAUUGUCUGAUGCCUUCCGAAACUAACAGCCGGGUACCCCAGUUGAGGAAGGCGGAGGUGGUCUUGCUUGUAAUUGACAGAAACUAGGCAGAGACCCUGAGGUGGGGCUGACAUUGAUGUAUACUUGGCCAGCUCCCUCCGAUCACGACUGGCCAAUAUCAUAGGAACCAUAUCAGGAGGGAUGCCUUCUUUUCCUAUUUCAAUCAGCAGAGCCACCUGCCAGCUCACACAGCAAAGGGAGUUGAACAUUUUCAGAUACAGAAUAAAUAUGCGUUGAAAUAGUAAAAGGUAGUAACUAGAAGAAGUAAGCCAACCAUGUUGCGGACUUGUCUGUACAAGAAACCAGUACCUUCUACAUCCAGCUGGAUCAGUGAUCCCUGCAGCAAAGGAAUGGGUGAUGUAGUGGCAGAAACAACAGCAGUUUGUAAAAGCAUUCCUCUGGAAGAGAACAAGAAUAAUUGGAAAGAAAGACUAUAAAAUAUCUUUAAGAUUAGUUCCUUGCCAUUUCAGAGACGUUGAAACGGAGAAUUGUCUUGAUGGGAUGGGGAACACGGUCAUUGCGAGAUGCAUUGGCAAAAGCCAGGAAAUCAUGCCGCCCAACAAAAUGCUUGGCAGCUUCUGCCAUGAUAGCUGCAUUGAGGUUGUAAGGGCAGUGGUAGGCAUAGUGGCGCAGAAGUGGGUCCAUCACGGGAUUGUUAUAGAUCCUGUAACUAUAGAGCUUGCUGGUGACCGAGAAUCGAGCAUGGAAUUCAGGGAGUGCGGGGGCAAUCUCUCGGACUCGGAUGUCUACAGGAAGAAGGCCAUUGAGAGCUGCAUGAACACGGUCCAAGGUGUCAUAGUUGAAAGGUGUCAGGAAGUGUGCAACCUGAAAGUAAGUAAAGCACAACGAAAAAUGGGGAUUUGCAUGUCAGACCAAACAGCAGUUUGCUUGCUAAAUGAGUUGAAAGUAACCUGAAAAGAGGAGCACCAUAUUAGAAGAAAACCUACCAUCCACACUCCCUCACCUGACCCAAAGCAUGAACACCAGCAUCAGUCCUACUAGCUCCAACUAAUUGAAGAUGUUCCCUAUCCAAUUUGGUCGCUCGAAUCAAGGAUUUCUCCAACAAGCAUUGUAUAGUCGGAGGGGAUUGCUGAAACUGCCAACCUGUUUAUGUUGAAAUGACAACCCAUUAGUAUAGGUUGAGGAGGAGGAAACCAUGAAAAAUUCUCAGGAUAGGUAAAAAGUAAGAGAAAGAAACCAGCAUAACGAGUGCCAUCAUAAGAAACCACCAAACGCCACUUUUUGCAAUCAUUAAGGCCAUGCGAAACAGAAGCAUCUGCAUCACCGGUGCAGCUGCUGCUGGGCUUUAACAUGACUCCAUUUAUCUGCAAAAAUCCAGAAGAACCGUUAGUUGGGGUGUGGAGGCCAUAGGCCCUCGGCAGCUGUCUUUUAGCAAUUGAACCUUACCGAGCUUUUGUCAGACAAGGCAGCAGCAGUAGGAAGAGGGAGCCCUGGUCCCGUAGCAGUCAUGUACUGAGCCAUACUCGUGUUCUGUGUUUCAUGUUGCCACUAAUUAGUCAAGCCUGACCGUGUAUUUAGGAAUUUAAACUUGUAAAAUAAGGUUAUACUUCAUUAGGUGGUUGGCACGCAGCAAUUAAUUGUUCAAAGCAUGAGCUGUGAUACCUAUUUCUCAGACAAGAUAAAUGCAGGGAUAAGUGAAGGAUAGGAAUAUGAACACAAUAGUGGACACCAAAAUCAGGGAAGAUGAUAACAAGGCAUAAAGGUAAUGCGAUACUAAAAAAACCUGGCAGUUUUUCUUACAAAAUCGUACAAAAGAAAAGAAAAUGAGCAGGAAGGUGGGGAAAGGAGAGCAAGCAACGAGUGGAUCAUUGCAGGUUGCUCUACUAGUACUAACCCAGCAGGUAACUACAGGUAACAAUUUGGGCAAGCAUCAUCUAGUCUCUGUAAGGAUUAUUAACAUUGUACGUGGAAGUAAAUAUACCUUCAGUAGUUCUUUUUAUCCAAAUUGCCGAUACAAUUGAAAAAGGAAUACUUGGACUAAGAAAGUGACGUUAUCAUAAAGAAGAUGUACGAGCUAGCUAUAAAGCAAAUUAUGUACUGCAACUGCAUCAUUACUAAGUAGCCAUGAGUGAAACAAACUCUCUAUUAGCAACAUUGGAAAAGGGGGACAUGGAUGAAGAAACUCCAGAAGGAUAUGAAUGAGGAAAUCAAACCUAAAGAGGGGAGGAAGUAACAGAAACCGAUGAACUUGAUUGCAAUUAUACAGAACACGAUGAGGAGGAGGAAAUGCAAAAGGCAGCUAAAAGGAAGCUCAUUGUCCGCAUCCCCGAGAGAAAGAAGAAGACCCUGCAAAAAAUGACCAGGAACCGGAGGAGAUUGUUAACUAUAACCAAAUGAAUCGAUGCGUGCCAACAUGGCCGGCCCAGCUAGCCAUAUCAUUGGGCUUAAAUUAUAUGGGCUGGCCUUUCAAACAACUUCUCUAACAUAUACUUCAACGAGUUAUUGGUUUAGCAAUGUAAAAGACUAUAUCUAGAAGGGCAAAUUUAGGUUUAAUAUCCCAUAAUGUCAUAAUAAUUUUAAGAGAGGAAUAAAAUCUUAAUUUUGGAAUAAUUCCUCAAUUUAAUUAAUUAGCCAAUGAAUCAAAUAUUAGAGUUUAUACAAAAAAAAUGUAUUCCAAUAUGUAAAUAUUUUAUUUGGGUGAAAAAAUGUUUCAACAGGCAGAAAUAUGAGUUGUGGUUCGACAAUUAAAAAGGGAGGAUGAAUGGUUUGAUCCGGCUCAAUCAAAAAAUCGUCUGAUCCAGCUCAACUAUAUUUGUUUAUUUAAUUAAUAAUAAAAACGAUUGAACCUCAGUCAAACCAUCAAACUAUAAACCGAACCCAACCAACCUCCUUACUAUCCAAGAAGCAAGCUGCAUCCACAUUGCAUUUUAAAUAUCCACACGUUGGAGGGUGCCAUUUCUUACACCCAGGACGACUCUGAAUCCCUCCGCUCACAUCUCUUUGCUUUUGCGCCAACUCCCAUGUUGCAACCACCUCCACUGCCACCCCUACCACUCUUCUUGCAGUCUGGGAUGUCGACUUCCAUACCCUAUCAUUCCUCCAAAUCGCCCAUAACAUAUGCCAUACAUUUAGAAUGAACGAAAUAACAUAAUUUUCGAUUGAACAUAAUGUUUUUAUAAGAUUAUAAAUUUUCUCGAAAGAUGGUCUAUUUGUUUUUACUAAGUGUUUUUUCUGAAAAACAAAAGAGAUAUCAAACCACUCUCUCCUAAAAUAUUCAUGGCAUACCCCUCAAUUUCUUCACAGUUCACAUAAAGAUGAGAUAUCAACUCAUUUCAUGCACAAAGAGGCCUCUGUCGACUUAGAUCAAAUGAUCAAUGGUUCUUCUUCUGUUUUUACAAUUCUGGCCAUAGCUGUUCGUUCCUCUUCCUCUUUAAUUUUCCCCCACAUCACGCUGUAGAAUCCAACUCCAAUUCCUAUGAUCCCAAUCACACUGUGGAACACACACAUAACCGAAAAACUAACCAUGAGCACAAUAUUAUUAUGCAUGUCUGAGCUAAGUUGGUGUUUUUACAGUAGGAUUAAUUGGGAACGUGAAGAUAAAAUUCCACACCUGCCAAGAUAAAGGCCAUCACCAAGGAACAUCACUGAUAUAACCACCGCAAUCCCAAUCCCCAGCGGACUGAACAUACUUACAAAUAGGGGCCCUUUCUCCCGCAAGCACCAUGUUCUAAGGCCAAUGCGGAAUACACUCCCGAACAUUGCCUUCCAAAUUGAACAUUUUCUUUCUUAAGCUUCAUGUUGUAAUGUGCAAAAGUGAAGGUAAAGAGUUUUGUGCUAACCGUAUAAACGAUGGCAAUAUACUCUAUGGGAGACUUCAAUUUCCACGCAUUUGGAUUUUUCUCCAAAACUAUCGAGAACACUGCAGACUGGAUUGUGAUGAACAAGGUGAAAAAGAAGACAAUUGUCAUCUCUUCUGGAUACUGCUUCACAGUAGCACCCUGGUAUGGUAAGAACAAACACCACUUAGGUGAGAGGAUCAGUAACACAAAAUGUUCAAGGCUGGGACCGAGAUAUCGAUGAUAAAAUGAUCAGUAUUUCGAUACCUGGGCCACAUUCCACGUUGCAGUCAUGAAAGCCACGACUGCAAAAAGUACACUGCCGACGAUCCAAUCUGACUGUUCUGAGGCAAGAGGCUGAUGUUGGUAUGAGUUCAAACCAAUUGGAGGCUGCAAAAUUGCCGGGCCUUUGUACAAGGUAACGACAAGUGCUCCGGUUACUGCCACAAUUGCGCCAAUACAUUUAACUUGACUCGCCCUUAUUCGUAAAUCUACAGUUUCCAUCCUAAGACAAUGAAACACAAGGCUCAAUUCACAUGUUAAAUUCCUUCAAAGAUCCCAAAUGGGAGACCAGAUUGUCAAGUGUACCUUGUAAGGAUAGCAAGCAAGAAGGUGAAAAUCGGAUUGAGAUUAGUGAUAGCGGACGCAAGUGUGGGGGAACUCAACUUGACCCCCGUGAGGUAUGCCAUUUGUCCUGUACUCCUGCAAGGACCAUACUGGUAUUUAAGGUUGAACGAUUUUAAUAAUACCACUAAUUAUACUUUCUACCCUAUCAAGGCAAGAAGGAAGAAUCUCCAGAGCAGGUGAAGGGUAAGGGGAGCCCUCUCCUUCCUGCAGAAAAGCAAGUAGCAGGUGUAAGAUGAUCUAUUUUUAUCCGCAGAAUAAACAAUCAAUAAAAGCAGGGAGGGUGAAGGGAACCUGAAGAAGAGGAAGUAAGGAAGAAGGAUGAGAGUGGCAAGGGCAUUGUAGUAGACAACAGAAACAAAGUUGCUCAUCCCUUUAGCCAUGGCGGCUUUGCUGAUUGCAGAAAUUACAACAUCUGAAAAGUCAACAGCCACCAUUGCAACAAAAGGUAUUGCAACCUUCAUCAAAGAACCCAGUUCCAUGUUUCGCAUGAAGAAAGAAUGGUUGUUGGUUAGGCAUCCAAAAGCUUCAAAUUAUACAAAAAUAAUUGCUAACCGCAGCUACCACAGGCAUCAACUUUUGGAAUUAAGAAAUCCCAACUUGUCCUUCAAGAUACUAAUUAAGUAAUACAAAAAGACAUUGAUACUGCUUAAUAUCUAGCCGGCUAUUUAUAUAUAAAAAAAACAGCUAAAACAAAUAAAGGAUGAUAAUGACUGGAGAAAUGCACAGUAUAUUCCAAUAUUUCUUUCUAAUGUUACAAACAUGUAGUGAAAUAAAAAAAUAAUAUAUUGUUCCCUGGGAAAGACAGAGUUCUACACGUUUACCUUCUAGCCAGAUGAAUGAAGUCAGGGCAUCAAAUCUUCCCCCACUGCACACAGUGGGCAGAGAGAAACUUACCAGUGCGUGUGCGUUCAAGUUCGCCUUGCCAAGAGCAAUACAUACAUGGAUUUGCCUAUGAAUGCAACGGAUAUUUCCAAAAAUCCAGGGAACAAGAACCCUGCUAAAAACCUAGCUUUCUAGUUAUUUCAUAAAUAUGUACACAAUGUAAAAAACAAUGCCCGUUUUAACCCUUCCUUGGCUUUCUUCUCAAGAACGGCAUCGCGCUUAGACCACCUACAUCAUCCCUCUACUCUUUACAUUGUUUUCAGGAUGAGCUGCGCUGCUCAUCAUGAAAUGAUCCUCACUUUCUGUACUUCCCACUCCCUGAGUGUUUGGAUCCUUAACAACUCUACUUGUGUUCAUGGCAUCCACCCAUGAUUCGUACCAACCAUCGGUUGUGCUUACUGACAAAGCAGCGAACUCCACAUCAUCCAUCGCACCUCCACCGCUGAAUUUUUCGGUGCCUUCUUCAGCAAGAGCUGUAGCCACUUUACUGGUCCCACAUUGGUCAUCGUCCACACAAAACCCACCUCCGCUCUCUAAGUAAUCUAUUGAAGCAUUGCCUUCAGAAGGAUUACAGUUCUCACCUGCGUCAAAGUGACCAGCCUCAUCUUCAUCAAUGCAAAACCCACCUCCUGUUUCAAGAUGGUCCCCAGGCGAAUCAUUCUGCAGAGGAAUAUCUUCCACAUUUUGAUGUUCUCUAGCUGAACUUGAGUCAGCAUUCUGGGGAUUCGAGUCAGCUGUUCCUGCUUUUCUUUCACUGUUCAGGUCUACAGACUCCAUCACAUCAUCCAAAUCCAUGUCAUCGGUUAAACUUACUUGCUGUCUCAAUCGAUUUGACUGCAAAUGAGAAAAGAACAACAGGAGAUGCACGCAUAGUUAGACUCGAAUAUACAAUGAGAAAGUUGAUCGUGGCAAAAACUUUGAGCAAGACAAUAGUUUGCUGCCUGGUAGUUCUGAGACCCAUGACUUCAAUGGAUACACCAUCACCAAUAAAGUUCGUGAAAGAAGGUUCUUUCAUCGGGUUUAGCUUCAGAACCAAUGUUGGUAACAGUAAUAGAAGAUGGUGAUAGGCUUUUGUUGGCAUUAACAUGUAGGAGAGGAGUGUAGAAGUUAGGAGAUGAGAAGAGGUGAACGAGUAGGGAAUAGGGAUCGGAUAUAAGUCCUAUAUUUGCAUCAUGACCGGCGGGUUAAAUGUUUGGCAUAUGAAAGGUACUGGUGAUGGAUAUUGGAUGCGUUCUGAACUAUUGAUAAAAAUAAAGCGCACUUUGAUUUUGAUCCGAUCCGAUCCAACUGCAAUAGAUGAUCGACGAUGAUGAAAAUUAAAACCUUCUGGAAUGUUGCUCAUUUCGUUUUAUGAAGGGGCAGGAAAAAAAAACGAGAAUGACAGGCGGCCACUAGUUACCUGUCAGCCGGCUCCUUGACCCUUCUCUGCUUUUUUUGAAUGGCUACAUCUGUUGGACUGGCGCAGUGUUGCAGCACAUUGGAAUUUCCACAACUCACUCACUUCCAAUCAUUUCCAUUCAAAACCUGAGAGCUCCUAUAUUGAAGGUAUGGAUUCACAAGCUCAGAUUGUCCAGUGAUCAAAGAAUGAAUCAAUUUCCCAUCUGGGCCAUUUUCAUUUCCCUCUUCCUCUUCUCCCUCCACUCUACUGCUAAUUCAUUAGCAGACGAUGACGUCAAGUACUCGCUCAUCAGCCUCCUGGCAAACCUGACCCGUCUUUUGGUUGGGUUGAAUAUACUCAUCCUUGCCUUAAUCCCUGGCCUGGUAUUACCUGUGAUGCUUCCAAUAACUCUAUUACCAAGAUCUUUCUUUCAGGACUUCACCUCUCAGGUGCAUUUCAUCCCGCGUCAAUUUGCAGCGUGAAAACUCUUGCUUCAUCUCUUACCCUCAUCAACCUGCAGCAGAACCAGAUUGUUGUCCAACUCACACCACAUAUCUCUAACUUCACAAACCUCACUCACUUGCUUCUGGGCAAGAACAAUUUCUCUGGACGCCUUCCCGACUCUCUAAUCAAGCUGAACAAUCUCCGAAAACUUGGUUUCUCCCACAACUUCUACGGCGAGUUACCAAAUAUUACCCAACUCCCAGGAUAACACUAUUCAUUGCCCAGGGGAAUCAUUUCACAAGUCCAUUACCACAGCUAGACUUCCUGAAACUUGAGAAGUUUGAUGUAUCCCACAACAACUUCAGUGGCCAAAUUCCUGAUGUCCAUGGAAAGUUCAAUCAGAACAGUUUUCUGGACAACCCUGACCUCUGCGGCUCUCCAUUGCCAAAGCUGUGUAUACCUUGGAACACAAGCAAAUCAGAAACUCAAAAUUUCAAUGAUGGCAUUGGCAGCAAGAAGAACUCGAACGGUUUGUCGAGAAAUCAGAUUCUGAUGUACUCUGGGUACAUCGUUCUUGGAUUAGCACUCGCCAGUUUCAUCAUUUGCAAGAUGUACAUGAGAAAUAAGAGCGGUGGUGGUGGGUCUAAGAAAGGUGAUAUGGAGAACCACAGGGUUGUUGCUUCAGUAGAUGAGGGUAGUAGUAGCUCAGAUCAUGGAAACCAUGGUGGUCAUUCCUGGGACAGCAAAUCAGAGCUGUCUGAAAGUGCAUUGUUGUCUUCCUCUCUCGUUGUCCUCACUAGUAGCAUUGAAGGGAACAGUGGGAUUGAUUUCGACCAGCUACUCAAGGCUCCAUCUGAGUUGCUGGGCAGGGGGAAGCAUGGAAGCCUGUACCAGGUUAAUUUGAGCAGUGGGAUGACAGUGGUUGUCAAACGAAUCAAGGAUUGGCCAAUUCCUAGUGCUGAGUUCAAACACAGGAUGCACAGGAUCCACCGAGCUGCUACCCAUCCAAACGUGUUGCCUCCACUUGCAUUUUACUAUUCCCAACAUGAGAAACUUCUAGUCUAUGCUUAUCAGAGAAUGGAAGUCUCUUCAGAUAUAUCCAUGGUAGGAAAUUAUUAUUUUCUGUCUCAAUUAACUAGAAACUGUGUCAAGAUCGAAUAUUUACGGUAUCAAAUAUCUUUUUAUCCUCAGGAACAAAGAUGGGACAAGCAUUUGAGUGGAGUAACAGGCUAAGAGUAGCUGGCACCAUUGCUGAAGCUUUAGCGUUCAUGCACAAGAAGCUUUAUGAUGACGGGAUUGGCCAUGGGAACCUGAAAUCCUCCAACAUACUGCUGAACCGCAACCUGGAGCCUUGCAUGAGCGAGUAUGGACUGAUGCCAUCUGCACAAGACAAAGACGAGGGCUCAAACAGCUUCAGUUUCAGUGAGGUAAAGCAGGCCAAUAAAAAUUCCAGCACAUUCAGAUCAGACGUUUAUGGGUUUGGAGUCAUCCUGCUCGAACUGCUGACUGGGAAGACGGUGCAGAACAACGGAAUCAGCUUGCCUAGGUGGGUCCAUAGCGCGGUUAGGGAAGAAUGGACAGUGGAGGUUUUCGACAAGCAACUUAUAUCAGAAGGUGCAAGUGAAGAAAGAAUGUUGAAUUUGCUUCAAGUUGCUAUCAACUGUGUCCACGAAUCUGAAUACGACAGGCCUUCUAUCAAUCGAGUCGCAGUUAUGAUCAACGCGAUAAGAGAAGAACAUGAGAGAUCUGCGAUGACUACUUACUGAAACGGACAUGGGAAGCUAAAACCCAUAGGAUUAGGAUUGUUCAGUUAGUUUCGUUCUUUCUGGUCACUUGCUGCUGUUACGCUCUCAAUGUAUUACUGUCAUCUAUAUCGAGAAUUGUAUGUAGUUAAUCAAUCCUGGGGGACCAUCUCAGGCCAAAGGCCAACUUUACUUCGCCUGGAACUUAUUGGUUGAGCAAACAACGAAUCAGAGACAAAAUCGCUUGGAUGUCGUAUUUAACAUAAAAUGGUUCCAAUGAGGUAUUUCUGCCCAAAUCACUUUUCAUCCGAAUAUAAAAAUUGUGGUAUUUAAAAUUAUGGUAUUUGAAAUAACGAUUAAUUUGCUACAGAGAAAGUGAUCAGGUAAUGAUGUCGAUGAUGAAGAAAAAGACGAAGAAGAGCCGAUGCACAAUAAUGAUGGAGAAUAGUGCACUAGGUGUUAUUAUACUAUUAUCAAAUAUUUAAUUAGGGUUAUGUUUAUUUAUAAUUUGAUACCUAAGGUAUAAAAAACUUUUAAAGAUGUAUUAUUUUUUAAAAUAAUAGCAAGAUUGGUUCUUAAUGACAAGUUAAUUUUUUAUAUUAAACUUUUUGUAUUAUUAGUAUAAUUCGGGUUUAUUACAAACUUAUAUGGCAUGGUAUUUUAUCAUUAAUUUAUAUAUUUUAUUUUUAUUUAAUAUUAUCAAAGGUUGAAUCGGUAUGGAACCGCAGUUGAACCAUCAAACCUCCAACCACUAGAUUUUUCGGUAUGAUGUUCGGUACGUUAGAUGAUUAAAUGAGUAAUUUAACCGUGUAUAUAUAUUCAGUGCAACCAAUGGGCUCCAUCCUACAUCGAAUGAUUAAUUAAAUAUUGGGCUAUGUCAAAUGGGCUUCAGAGAAGAAAGAUCCACACUGCAGAGUUUUCCGGUAUGAUAUGCGAUGUGGUUUUGAAAACAUUGAUCCAAGCCGAUUUGGGUAUUAGAUGAUUAAUGAGUAAUUUAGCCUUAUAUAUAUUCAGUGCAAAUGGGCUCCCAUCCUAUGAGUAAUUAAAUAUUGGGCUAUGUCAAAUGGGCUUUGGGGAAGGUAGAUCCACACUGCAGAGCAUUUAGGCAUGGGAGUCGGUUAAUUCGAUUAUUAAUCGUGGGUUAACGGUCGGGGAAAGCGAUUCGAUGAUUGAAAUGAAAUCGGUUAACCGACCGUGCGGAGCUCACGGUUUAACUGACCGACCGAUAACCGACCAGUCGGUUAAAUGACCGAAUUUAACCGACCAACGCAUCAGUUAACCGAAUAAAUCAUAGGUUAACGGAUCGCCUUGAAUAGAAAAAUUGAUUUUUUUAUUAUCGGUUAACUCGAAUUAACCAAUGGUUUUAACUAAUUAACUGUUUAUCUAACUCGAACAAUGACUUUUAACCGUUCCCUGACCGUCCUUGACCUCGGUUAAACCAAUCCUCUAACCAAAUCGGUCGGUUCAUCGAUUCAACCAAAACCGAUUUUCAACCCUAAGAAACUAAAAAGAGGGUUCGAAUCUCCAACCUUGUAGUUAACAGCCACACACUCUAACCAGCUAAGUUAUUUCAACUUCGUAUAUUAUAAUAUCGACGAUAGUACACAACUAUUUCUCAUACCCGCUGUACCUCAAUAGUGAGUUACGAACACCCAUUACACAUUCCUAAGGAAAAACAUUACAUCAAAUGACGGAAACUAGUACAUAUGUCGUGGUAAUUGAAAUAUAAAAUACAGACGGUAUAGUAUGGUUGCUGUGAUACCCACUUUCAAGCAUUCUUCCUUACUACGGGUCUUCUUCUUUAGUUGAUUGACAGCCACAUUAUGCUUCUUGCUCAUGACUGGUAAGCAUGAGAAUAACCAACAUAGUUGUACCUGGGUCGAAUGUUAUGUUGGUUAUACCUAGGAUCUGCAUAGUCCACAGCCUUUAUCACCAUUGCUUCUCGACGACCAUCCUGUUCUUGUACUGCUCCAAACACUAUCUCAUUUGACUCACUACCUUUCUCAUAGUAUGUCUUUGGAUUUGAAACUUGCUGCCUGUGCCGAUGAUGCUGUUGACGUUGUUGAUGCUGCUGCAUUUGUUGCUGCUGCUGCUCAUAAUCUUCAUCCCAUCCGCUGCUGUAAUGCUGCUGGUUCGGCUUUACAUCUUGAUUCUUUUGCUGCGGUUCCUUGUUCAUGGACGGAUGAGAGUUCUUGGGUGUAGGAUAUCUGGACUCAAGUGGUGGUGGUGGUGGGAUAUCUUCAUCUGGAAUCACAUAGCUUUUCUGCAUUGGCCAUGAUGAGUUCAAAUGCUUGAGUUGGUGAGAUUGUUGAUACUGUUGAUGUAGUUGAUACUGUUGCUGUUGGAACUGAUAAUUUUGAGGUUUCCUUCUGAACCCUGAAAAUAACCCCCCUAGUAUUUCACCCACACUUGUUCCAGUGUUGGCAACCAGUCUCCCAACUGAACCCAUAAAGCCUUCUUCUGGUUUCUCAUAUUCCUCUUCGUUUGGAAUCAAAGGGGGUCUCACUGAUUGAGGUGGCCUCUGAUAUGGUGGCAUUGACAUGACUUUAUUUGCGUACAUUCUUGGUUCCUGGCAGACAUUAUAUAAUAGCACCUUCAAACCUUUUGUCAUCCUAGAAUGUACUCAUAAACACAUCGGAAGCAUGUGAAUACUUGCCCGGUGAGGAGAAAAGAAAGUUUGGAUUUUUCUCUGCAGCAGUGCCAACAUGUAUCCCAAGAACCCAGCAACAAUAAGCAUUACAAUUGCUGUAAACACAACAGAAGCAUAUUAGUCUGUAAGCCAAAUUAGGAGUGCAGGGUGGAGAAGUAGGAAAACAAAUGGUAAGUCACGACUUGGAAGACAUUUCAUACCCAAGGGGUAAGUAGUAUCAUCUCCAUAGUCGCAAUCCUCGUCAUGGAGUUGGAUUUCUCUAAUUGCCUGGUUCCCUCUGUCUACAACCAAAAGAGAGCAACUAGUUCCAACAUAGUGCACAUCAAAAUCGGUAGAUAGUAUGGAGUCUUCACUUGGCCCAUCAACAUGGCCACCUCCUCGACUCCAUUUUCCUCCACCUGCAAUAGUUGUAACUCCUGCACAAAUAUACCGGACUAAGAAAUCGGGAGAGUUUGUGCCGAAAACAAGAAAGUGGAAGCAAAAUGAAUAAGAGAAAUUUACCUCCCUCACUAAUCUUCCUUAUUGCCAUGUUCAUGGUGUCCGCAAUGUAUAUGUUUCCUCUGUCGUCAGCAGCAAGACCUUUGGGAUGAUUCAUUCUUGCCUCUCUUAACUUGCCCUCACCUUGGCCAGUAUAGCCUUCAGGUGAUCCAGCAACCAGUUUGGGCCUGCUAUCUGCAUCCCAUCAGUCCAUCUCAGUGUCAAAGACACUGACAUAAUGAACCAAACUAACAACUUUGCAGGUGAUGUGAAUAGUUUAGUUUAGUUUAGUUUCAGGAAGUUGGCAAAUGACUCUUGAGAUUUGCAGUCCAUGAUCGCUAGUCAGUCUCUAGUUACAAAUACAAACGUGAACUACAAAUCUUGUAGGACACAAAAGCCUCUUAUUUAAAGGAUGAAAACACAGACAAGAUGAGUGAUCAGGUUGGUGAGGAGGAUUCAGACAUGGAAAAGUGAAAAAUUUAUCUUAAGUUGCAAGAAAAGCAUGGAAUUAGGUGAUGUAAACACAGAAGUGAAAAAAGGGGGUUGUUCAUGUGCUUUUAAAAGUUGAAGACUUGUGCUUAACAAAAGCUUUAAGGAUAUAUAAGAUAUUGCUCGCACUCUUAAGUUUGUCACCUUGUUCUUAUUCCUCCGAUUCCUCUUUAAACGUUUAGAUUUUCCCUACUUGUGACUCACAACACAUUAGAAUCUUGAACCCUACAAAUUGAAAAGAUGAAGGGAAGAAGGAAAUAAGCUUAAGUCCCAAUCCUGAAUCUAAGCACCAAAAUCCCCAAUCCACAAGGUCUAAACCACAGAUCAAGAACAAAAUCUGAUAGGAAACCAACUUACAUUUGGAGAGUGGAGUUUGGAUCUUGUAAAUGUUACUGUUCUGUGAAUCCAAAAUCAUGAGCUCACCAGUAGGAGAAACCUCAACAGAGAAAGGGUUAAUACCAAGCUUACUUCCAUCGAACACCGUCCCCACAGUAUACCCAUCUUCAAAUUUGACCAUGGAACGCCCAGAAACGGAUGAAGAGGAGCCAUCCACACCCAUCAGGCCCUUCAACCUUGAAACUGCUCACAAAUUACGCCCAUUUGAUUAAAUAAAUAAAUAAUACCAUGAUGAAACAUACAUACACCAGCCUCUGAGCUCAUCAGUGAAUAAGAAAGCAAUUAAUUAGGACCUGUUUUGGGGUUGGAUUUGAGGGACCAUAUCCAUUUAGCAAGUGCAGAAACCACAUUGGAAACAACUCCAGCCACAAUUCCUGAAACCAGAGGAAAUGUGAAAGAAUAAAGUGAGAAAUUAAAGGGGAAAGCAAAGAAGAAUGGAUAGGUAGAAAGCUCACUUGCAGGAGUAGUAGUCGCUGAAGCUGAAGAAAAGGCAUUAAGGAGAAGCAAGCAAAUAAGAGCAGAAGCCAUCCAUUGCCGGCGCAUUAUUGAACAAGUACUCCUGGGCUACUAUUGGUUUCACUGUCUCUUCUUCCCUCGGUCGGUCAGUCAGUCCAGUCAGUGGAAGAAUGCAAUGCCAAAGAUUUGAGAUUUUGGCUUUUAUACGGAGAGAGAGAGAGAGAGAGAGAGAGAGAGAGAGAAAGAGAGUGUUGAGGUACUAAACAGAAGAGCAGCUGCUGACAAAGCAAAGACCCCACUGGCCACUAGUCAUGUUAGAGCUUGCCAUCUUACUUAAAUGGUUUCCAUCACUGUUUGCAUCAUAAUUAGGAAAACGGAAAACCAAACCCUUUUCGAACUAAAUCUAAGCGAGACUAAUGCAGUGUAAGGAACAAAAUGGUUCAAUCGCUUAUCAUAAAAUGGUUUAAUCGGCGUUAGGUACGUUGAACAGUCUGUGUAGAGUAUGCAGAGUAUCAUUAGAGUAUGCAGAGUACCUUUCACUUUUACUGCUGCACUGCAUUGCAUUUCAUGAACCAACAAUUGUUUUAAGUAAAUGACCAAGGCAUGUGCCAAUCCAACUAGCCAAAAUAUUUGUACUCGCAAAUAUCCAAAAUAUUUAUUUAUUUAUUUAUAUAUAGAAGAUGGAAUUUCAUGGAAAGCUGUGCCUCUCAAGCUGUCUUCUGAUUCAUGUACUUGCUUCUUCUAUCACUUCUAAUUUCUAAAUCGCAUGCAUGGAAGUUUACCGAUUUCCUUGUACUGUUUCCCACUUUGUUUUCUUUUUUGCUAAUAAUAAAAGGCCACAAAAUACAAAUCUUGUUACUGACAUGCCUACAACUGUAACAUGGGUCUGCUCUAAUUUACUACUAAUCUCGCAAUUAGUCCAUCAACUAGGCAAUAAAUUCACGUCUACCACACUAAGCUCCAUUUCUAAUUCAGAAAAAGAAACCAAACAUUAGAUUAAAUCAUCAUUGUUUAAUGACCAGNNNNNNNNNNNNNNNNNNNNNNNNNNNNNNNNNNNNNNNNNNNNNNNNNNNNNNNNNNNNNNNNNNNNNNNNNNNNNNNNNNNNNNNNNNNNNNNNNNNNNNNNNNNNNNNNNNNNNNNNNNNNNNNNNNNNNNNNNNNNNNNNNNNNNNNNNNNNNNNNNNNNNNNNNNNNNNNNNNNNNNNNNNNNNNNNNAGAUUAAUUAUAAUUCAUUUAAAUUGAUAGGCACUUGAUUUAAACAAAUAAAUAGAGACAUAUAUAACUUCAAAUACCUAGACAAAUUAUAAAAUUAUCCAAAAUUUUACAUAUAAUUUAAUAUUUUAGACUAGAGAAUAAAUAAUUUAAAACUUUAUUUAAAUCUCUUUAGUUCGGACACAGUCAAAUACUUAAUCGAACUCGAAAAAAUCAUAAUAUACACAUGAAUUUAAUUAUAUGAAGUGCAAAAACGAGUCUCCCGAGUCCUACCUCAGGGUUUGGGAGACUAUAGAAAUGGCUACUGCACUUUAUGUUUUUAAGGACCUUAACUGUUUAACACUAGUUAUUUAAAUUUAUUAUAUCCCCUAUAAAUAUAAAUGAAGAAUUAUUGGUUUAGUGGUAAAGAGGCUGACCUAUUAUCAAGCAGAUUAAGGUUCGAAACCUGGUAGUAACUGUUUUAAGUGUAAUUUUUUGUUUAGGGUCUCAGCUGACACUCUUCAAAUUUAUUUUUUUCCGUCACUCCUUAAAUUUAUCUCCUUUCGUCACUGUAUUAAGAAGUACUAGAUCGUAAAGUUAAAUAACCAUUUUAAUAUUAUUUUUUUCAUUAUAUUCAAGUUGCAUCUUCCGAAUUACCACCAUACUUUAUAUUUCCUUUUUAUUCAGUCUCAUUAAUACAAGUAUGCCCUGCUUUUCGGCUCACCGGCGGCUAAGCCGACACUCCCCCUCCCCGGCCCCUUGUGCCACUCUUCCUCAUUCUGGAUCCAGCCCAAUCAUCCAAACAAGAUGCUUCCCAAGCCCAGUCGUUCUAGGGCUAGGUCAUCAGUAAACAUGCUGUUACCGUUGGUCAACGUGUUCUACGCAAUUCAAGUGAUGGAUGAUAUCAAAUCAAACUGAUUAAGAGUAAGUUUGGACACUUGAUAUGAUAUUCGAAAUUUACUUGAUUAAGUGAAAAAAUGACCUUAGAUUUCAAUUAAUGCAUCCAUCAAAUUGUUUAUGCAACAAUGAUUGCAUUUCGAAUCCCAUUUAGUGUAAACAAGCCGGCGUGAAGAGUUCCAUUGAUACCUGAUUAUGUGCAGAUGAAGCAAAACAAAUUCACCAACGGAGGAUUACAGUUCAUCAUGGUUAGCAACAUAGCAAAUUUUAACUUGGUCUUCACAUGACCUCAUAUCGAAUUCCAAAUUUGCAUUAGUAAUAAACAGCUACCAACCAAGUAAGCUGUAAACAAAAAAGCAACGGCACAAGAUGCAGUAUUCAAACAUGUGUGCCUGCACAACUUUUCCGGGUUUCCAGCACAUUUGAGCUCCGAUGGCUGGACGUUCUUCGCAGAUAUUCUAUCCUCAUACACCACUUAAUAAACAUAAGAUAUGCUGCCAGACAGUGG
rnacentral:lncRNA from 1 species